rnacentral:misc_RNA from 1 species
GAUGAAGAACGUAGCGAAAUGCGAUAAGUAGUGUGAAUUGCAGAAUUCAGUGAAUCAUCGAAUCUUUGAACGCACAUUGCGCUCCCUGGUAUUCCGGGGAGCAUGCCUGUUCGAGCGUCAUUACAACCCUCAAGCUCUGCUUGGUGUUGGGCCCCGCCGCCCCGGCGGGCCCUAAAGUCAGUGGCGGUGCCGUCCGGCUCCGAGCGUAGUAAUUUUUCUCGCUUUGGAGGCCCGGGCGCGUGCUCGCCAUCAACCCCCAAUUUUUUUCAGGUUGACCUCGGAUCAGGUAGGGAUACCCGCUGAACUUAAGCAUAUCAAUAAGCGGAGGA